UACGGAGGGUGCAAGCGUUAUCCGGAUUCACUGGGUCUAAAGGGUGCGUAGGUGGGUUGAUAAGUCAGUGGUGAAAUCCCCGAGCUUAACUUGGGAACUGCCAUUGAUACUAUUGAUCUUGAAUACCGUGGAGGUCAGCGGAAUAUGUCAUGUAGCGGUGAAAUGCUUAGAUAUGACAUAGAACACCAAUUGCGAAGGCAGCUGGCUACGCGAAUAUUGACACUGAUGCACGAAAGCGUGGGGAUCAAACAGG
rnacentral:rRNA from 1 species